CCCCCCCCAAAGCCUGCAGGUACCGAAAAGGGCAUCAGCCACACGGGCCAGGGUCUGUGAAUCUGGUCUCCAGAAAGCAAACAGCACCCAGAGCUACAGCUGCAGCUAUAGACACACCUGCGGCACAAGCUCAGCACCUCCCGUCCCACGGCUCUGCUCUCUGCAGCGGGUCCGUGCCUCCAGCAGAGGGAACUUCCACCUCACCCCGGCACCUCCUCACCCGCUCCCUUCCCUGCAGCACCGCUGCCGCUACAAACACGUUCUGCUGACGGAGGUUGUGAAGCGUGGCAGGAGGCCUGCGGCAGCAGCAAGGCUACAGCCUCGUGUAGACUGGUGCCCGCAGAGCACAAAGGCAGGACUGGGUAGUCUGUUGCAAUAAGCAGGUGUAAAUGGAGCAUCUUCUCCAGUCAAGGCUGCUCUCUGGGAAAACGACCUUCUCCCAAAGAGAAGUGAUGAGAC